AGUCGAACGAGAUCUUCGGAUCUAGUGGCGCACGGGUGCGUAACGCGUGGGAAUCUGCCCUUGGGUUCGGAAUAACGUCGGGAAACUGACGCUAAUACCGGAUGAUGACGAAAGUCCAAAGAUUUAUCGCCCAGGGAUGAGCCCGCGUAGGAUUAGCUAGUUGGUGGGGUAAAGGCUCACCAAGGCUACGAUCCUUAGCUGGUCUGAGAGGAUGAUCAGCCACACUGGGACUGAGACACGGCCCAGACUCCUACGGGAGGCAGCAGUAGGGAAUAUUGGACAAUGGGGGCAACCCUGAUCCAGCAAUGCCGCGUGAGUGAUGAAGGCCUUAGGGUUGUAAAGCUCUUUUACCCGAGAUGAUAAUGACAGUAUCGGGAGAAUAAGCUCCGGCUAACUCCGUGCCAGCAGCCGCGGUAAUACGGAGGGAGCUAGCGUUGUUCGGA
rnacentral:rRNA from 1 species